UGGGGAAUCUUCCGCAAUGGCAGAAAGCCUGACGUGAGCAACGCCGCGUGAGCGAAGAAGGCCUUCGGGUUGUAAAGCUCUGUCUUUGGGGACGAACGAGGCGGAUGUGAAUAGCAUCAGCCAGUGACGGUACCCAAGGACGAAGCCACGGCUAACUACGUG
rnacentral:rRNA from 1 species